UUGGUGAUGGUUAUUGACUCAUGGUACAAAUAUAACUUGCCCAGAAGCUGUUAUUGCCCAGGUCUUGCAGCAGACAAGCAUCAUUGAAAUAAGCAGCAUAGGAUCAUCAGCAAACAUCUGAACUUAGGUCCUUCUGUUCAAGUGAAGGCUUUUGAUGAAAAAGCUGAAGGUAUUUGGGCUAAGAAACACCUGCACUGGUAACCUGAGAGUGGAACAUUCUUCCCAUGUGCAAGACUCAGAGGCCAACGUUGAAAGCAUCCUUCAAGAUGGUGAAUCCAUGGAAAACAUCUGACCCAGAUGGGUUACGUACACUAAAGAUCUGUGCUGAUUAACUGCCGAAUCAAAGGGUUUGGGGUUUCUUAUGAAGACCCUGAUCUGGAGAUACACUCUGACUUUGGUUCAUGGGACCCACUCUCAGGACCUCACAACCAGUUGCUUUUUGAUAUGCCAAGGACACAGCCUGGAAGACAAGUGUGCCUUCAGAGUUCCGUAAUUUUGUGAUUCUAGGUGUUGAAUGGACCUUUGGAACCUAUUGUGAAUGGGGCCAAAAACAAAAAGACAUUUAGAAUGGGACUAAGAGUACCUGACAAAAUGGAAAUAUCUGAUGCAGUGUGAAGCUGUAGUAUAGCAGCAGACAGCUGCCAAAUGUAUUUAUUUUAAGACAAUAUAGUAAGAAUCCAGUAAUCUAGAGUGCACACAUUGUUUUAAAAACUUUAAUUUGUCUAUGUGAGACAGCAAAAGGCAUUUAAUAACUUUUGCGGUGGCAAAUUAAAAAACUGAAAAUUCCAGUUCUGAAGGGCACCAACUUGAAACUUGUUUCUCUGCACACAUGCUACUUGAUCUUUCAACA